AACGAACGCUGGCGGCAUGCCUAACACAUGCAAGUCGAACGAGAUCCUUCGGGGUCUAGUGGCGCACGGGUGCGUAACACGUGGGAAUCUGCCCUUAGGUUCGGAAUAACAGUUAGAAAUGACUGCUAAUACCGGAUGAUGACGUUAAGUCCAAAGAUUUAUCGCCUGAGGAUGAGCCCGCGUAGGAUUAGCUAGUUGGUGUGGUAAAGGCGCACCAAGGCGACGAUCCUUAGCUGGUCUGAGAGGAUGAUCAGCCACACUGGGACUGAGACACGGCCCAGACUCCUACGGGAGGCAGCAGUGGGGAAUAUUGGACAAUGGGCGCAAGCCUGAUCCAGCAAUGCCGCGUGAGUGAUGAAGGCCUUAGGGUUGUAAAGCUCUUUUACCCGGGAUGAUAAUGACAGUACCGGGAGAAUAAGCCCCGGCUAACUCCGUG
rnacentral:rRNA from 1 species